UUCCUACGGGGGGCAGCAGUGAGAAUCAUUCACAAUGGGGGAAACCCUGAUGGUGCGACGCCGCGUGGGGGAAUGAAGGUCUUCGGAUUGUAAACCCCUGUCAUGUGGGAGCAAAUUAAAAAGAUAGUACCACAAGAGGAAGAGACGGCUAACUCUGUGCCAGCAGCCGCGGUAAUACAGAGGUCUCAAGCGUUGUUCGGAAUCACUGGGCGUAAAGCGUGCGUAGGCUGUUUCGUAAGUCGUGUGUGAAAGGCGCGGGCUCAACCCGCGGACGGCACAUGAUACUGCGAGACGAGAGUAAUGGG
rnacentral:rRNA from 1 species